rnacentral:rRNA from 1 species
GAUGAACGCUGGCGGCGUGCCUAAUACAUGCAAGUCGAGCGAACGGAUGAGAAGCUUGCUUCUCUGAUGUUAGCGGCGGACGGGUGAGUAACACGUGGAUAACCUACCUAUAAGACUGGGAUAACUUCGGGAAACCGGAGCUAAUACCGGAUAAUAUUUUGAACCGCAUGGUUCAAAAGUGAAAGACGGUCUUGCUGUCACUUAUAGAUGGAUCCGCGCCGCAUUAGCUAGUUGGUAAGGUAACGGCUUACCAAGGCAACGAUGCAUAGCCGACCUGAGAGGGUGAUCGGCCACACUGGAACUGAGACACGGUCCAGACUCCUACGGGAGGCAGCAGUAGGGAAUCUUCCGCAAUGGGCGAAAGCCUGACGGAGCAACGCCGCGUGAGUGAUGAAGGUCUUCGGAUCGUAAAACUCUGUUAUUAGGGAAGAACAUAUGUGUAAGUAACUGUGCACAUCUUGACGGUACCUAAUCAGAAAGCCACGGCUAACUACGUG